rnacentral:tRNA from 1 species
GAAGAGCGAUGUCCCCGGUGGGGCGCCUGGUCUUCAAAACCAGUGAGGCGCUGAUAAAGUGCCUGGUGGGUUCGACUCCUACCU